UGCAUCGGCCGGGAAUCGAACCCGCGCCUGCCCGCGUGGCGGCGAGCAUUCUACCACUGAACCACCGAUGC
rnacentral:tRNA from 1 species